rnacentral:lncRNA from 1 species
CAAUUCGAAGGGACACUUUUUUUUGGUCAAGACAGUUAUCAACUAAGAUGAUUUUCCCAGAAUCAAAUCCUCUUGUUUCUCGGGGAGUUGGGCUCUUAAAUAUUAGAGCAAGAACCAAAAGCAAAAUAGGAAAUUUCAUUUUUACCAUUUUCAUAGUAUUAUACUAUUAUUCAUCUUUACCACCUAACUUUCUAAGAAGAGUCAACACUUUAAGAAGAGUAUACGGAAAA